rnacentral:rRNA from 2 species
UAGAGUUUGAUCCUGGCUCAGAUUGAACGCUGGCGGCAUGCUUUACACAUGCAAGUCGAACGGCAGCGCGGGCUUCGGCCUGGCGGCGAGUGGCGAACGGGUGAGUAAUAUAUCGGAACGUACCCAAGAGUGGGGGAUAACGUAGCGAAAGUUACGCUAAUACCGCAUACGAUCUAAGGAUGAAAGCAGGGGACCGCAAGGCCUUGUGCUCCUGGAGCGGCCGAUAUCUGAUUAGCUAGUUGGUGAGGUAAAGGCUCACCAAGGCAACGAUCAGUAGCUGGUCUGAGAGGACGACCAGCCACACUGGAACUGAGACACGGUCCAGACUCCUACGGGAGGCAGCAGUGGGGAAUUUUGGACAAUGGGGGCAACCCUGAUCCAGCAAUGCCGCGUGAGUGAAGAAGGCCUUCGGGUUGUAAAGCUCUUUUGUCAGGGAAGAAAAGGGAGUGGCUAAUAUCCAUUCCUGCUGACGGUACCUGAAGAAUAAGCACCGGCUAACUACGUGCCAGCAGCCGCGGUAAUACGUAGGGUGCAAGCGUUAAUCGGAAUUACUGGGCGUAAAGCGUGCGCAGGCGGUUUCGUAAGUCUGUCGUGAAAUCCCCGGGCUUAACCUGGGAAUGGCGAUGGAGACUGCGAGGCUAGAGUUUGGCAGAGGGGGGUAGAAUUCCACGUGUAGCAGUGAAAUGCGU